rnacentral:tRNA from 1 species
UCAAGUAAGCUAAAUAAGCUGACAGAUUCAUACCCUGGAUAUGGUCCCACCCUUGAU